rnacentral:rRNA from 1 species
UUGAACGCUGGCGGCAUGCCUUACCCAUGCAAGUCGAACGGCAGCACGGGUGCUUGCACCUGGUGGCGAGUGGCGAACGGGUGAGUAAUACAUCGGAACAUGUCCUGUAGUGGGGGAUAGCCCUGCGAAAGCCGGAUUAAUACCGCAUACGAUCCACGGAUGAAAGCGGGGGACCUUCGGGCCUCGCGCUAUAGGGUUGGCCGAUGGCUGAUUAGCUAGUUGGUGGGGUAAAGGCCUACCAAGGCGACGAUCAGUAGCUGGUCUGAGAGGACGACCAGCCACACUGGGACUGAGACACGGCCCAGACUCCUACGGGAGGCAGCAGUGGGGAAUUUUGGACAAUGGGCGAAAGCCUGAUCCAGCAAUGCCGCGUGUGUGAAGAAGGCCUUCGGGUUGUAAAGCACUUUUGUCCGGAAAGAAAUCCUUGGCUCUAAUACAGUCGGGGGAUGACGGUACCGGAAGAAUAAGCACCGGCUAACUACGUG